UACGUAGGGUGCAAGCGUUAAUCGGAAUUACUGGGCGUAAAGCGUGCGCAGGCGGUUUUGUAAGUCUGUCGUGAAAGCCCCGGGCUCAACCUGGGAAUUGCGAUGGAGACUGCAAGGCUUGAAUCUGGCAGAGGGGGGUAGAAUUCCACGUGUAGCAGUGAAAUGCGUAGAGAUGUGGAGGAACACCGAUGGCGAAGGCAGCCCCCUGGGUCAAGAUUGACGCUCAUGCACGAAAGCGUGGGUAGCAAACAGU
rnacentral:rRNA from 1 species